UUUUCUCCCGGGUUAAGAUGGCGAAGCGCGGGAGUCUCGGCCCUGAGGAGACCGAUCGUCCAAUCAACGGGCGAGGAGAGCCAGAGUAGGCGGGCGGGCGGCUAUCGAGCGUCGAACUAUCGAGCGGCAGGGCCGAAGAAGCCACCAACUCUCUCUUCCUCUGGGAGGUGGAUGGAAAAAUGUUACAUGAUGGAUCGAUUCCUCCCUCAGCAGGAGGGCGCCGCGUUUCCCCUCCUCGACGUCAAGGGGAGGGGGUGGCCGCGUGCACACACAAAAAUAAUAAUACAAAACCUCGGCGCGCUCUCUCUACAGUCCCUGGAAAACCCCAGAGCAAGCGCGGUGCUGGGGGCUGUAAUGGAAAGGGGGUGGGGGCUUAGCAUUGAACAUCCUCAGAGAAAAGUGGGACUAGUUAAAAGAUCCCCCAUCACCUAUAUGAUAUUGGGAGCUGCACAAGAUUGAUUGAUUGUCUUCAGUUCUUUAGCUGAAUCAUGGUGUGGAGUUGUAUUCAAGAACAAAACUCAGCCACCUUUGAAUAGCAUUGAGGAUGAUGUCUUACAUUGAAAGUCUGCCAUUUUGUGACACUUGUGGUUACUUUUGAAUGUUUUUAAACUUUUAACUUUUAUUGUGCAUUUAAGGUCAUUAAAAAAAGCUUUGAAGUGUGGAAA